rnacentral:rRNA from 1 species
UACGUAGGUGGCAAGCGUUGUCCGGAAUUAUUGGGCGUAAAGCGCGCGCAGGCGGCCUCUUAAGUCUGAUGUGAAAUCUUGCGGCUCAACCGCAAGCGGCCAUUGGAAACUGGGGGGCUUGAGUACAGAAGAGGGAGAGUGGAAUUCCAACGUGUAGCGGUGAAAUGCGUAGAUAUCAGGAGGAACACCGGUGGCGAAGGCGACACGCUGGGCCGUACCUGACACUGAGGCGCGAUAGCAUGGGGGAGCAAAACAGG